rnacentral:rRNA from 1 species
UACGUAGGGUGCAAGCGUUGUCCGGAAUUAUUGGGCGUAAAGAGCUCGUAGGCGGUUUGUUGCGUCGGCUGUGAAAUCCCGAGGCUCAACCUCGGGUCUGCAGUCGAUACGAGCAAACUAGAGUGUUGCAGGGGAGACUGGAAUUCCUGGUGUAGCGGUGAAAUGCGCAGAUAUCAGGAGGAACACCGGUGGCGAAGGCGGGGUCUCUGGGCCGAUACUGACGCUGGAGGAGCGAAAGCGUGGGGAGCGAACAGG